UGCACACUUAUGAUUGGGUACGUUUGCC
rnacentral:sRNA from 1 species